rnacentral:misc_RNA from 1 species
CAGAGUUCAUGCCCCUCGGGGUAGACCUCCCACCCUUUGUAUACCGUGCCUUUGUUGCUUUGGCGGGCCGCCUUUUGGCCACCGGCCCCGGCUGGUGCGCGCCCGCCAGAGACCCUCAAAACCCUGUCUUACAGUGUCGUCCGAGUACUAUAUAAUAGUUA